rnacentral:rRNA from 1 species
UACGAAGGGGGCUAGCGUUGCUCGGAAUUACUGGGCGUAAAGCGCACGUAGGCGGCUCUUUAAGUCGGGGGUGAAAUCCUGGAGCUCAACUCCAGAACUGCCUUCGAUACUGAAGAGCUCGAGUCCGGGAGAGGUGAGUGGAACUGCGAGUGUAGAGGUGAAAUUCGUAGAUAUUCGCAAGAACACCAGUGGCGAAGGCGGCUCACUGGCCCGGUACUGACGCUGAGACGCGAAAGCGUGGGGAGCGAACAGG